GAUGAACGCUGGCGGCGUGCCUAAUACAUGCAAGUCGAGCGAACAGAUAAGGAGCUUGCUCCUUUGACGUUAGCGGCGGACGGGUGAGUAACACGUGGGUAACCUACCUAUAAGACUGGGAUAACUUCGGGAAACCGGAGCUAAUACCGGAUAACAUUUGGAACCGCAUGGUUCUAAAGUGAAAGAUGGUUUUGCUAUCACUUAUAGAUGGACCCGCGUCGUAUUAGCUAGUUGGUAAGGUAACGGCCUACCAAGGCAACGAUACGUAGCCGACCUGAGAGGGUGAUCGGCCACACUGGAACUGAGACACGGUCCAGACUCCUACGGGAGGCAGCAGUAGGGAAUCUUCCACAAUGGGCGAAAGCCUGACGGAGCAACGCCGCGUGAGUGAUGAAGGGUUUCGGCUCGUAAAACUCUGUUAUUAGGGAAGAACGAACGUGUAAGUAACUGUGCACGUCUUGACGGUACCUAAUCAGAAAGCCACGGCUAACUACGUG
rnacentral:rRNA from 1 species